AUAUCAAUAAGCGGAGGAAAAGAAACCAACAGGGAUUGCCCCAGUAACGGCGAGUGAAGCGGCAACAGCUCAAAUUUGAAAUCUGGCCCCAGGCCCGAGUUGUAAUUUGCAGAGGAUGCUUCGGGCGCGGCGCCUUCCAAGUCCCCUGGAACGGGGCGCCAGAGAGGGUGAGAGCCCCGUACUGCUGGACGCCUAGCCUAUGUGAAGCUCCUUCGACGAGUCGAGUAGUUUGGGAAUGCUGCUCAAAAUGGGAGGUAGACCCCUUCUAAAGCUAAAUACCGGCCAGAGACCGAUAGCGCACAAGUAGAGUGAUCGAAAGAUGAAAAGCACUUUGAAAAGAGGGUUAAAUAGCACGUGAAAUUGUUGAAAGGGAAGCGCUCGUGACCAGACUUGCGCCGCGGCGAUCAUCUGGCGUUCUCGCCAGUGCACUCGUCGCGGCUCAGGCCAGCGUCGGUUCGAGCGGGGGGAUAAAGGCGUCAGGAACGUAGCUCUCUAGGGAGUGUUAUAGCCCGGCGCGUCAUGCUCCCGCCCGGACCGAGGUUCGCGCUCUGCAAGGACGCUGGCGUAAUGGUUACUAGCGACCCGUCUUGAAACACGGACCAAGGAGUCGAGGUUCUGCGCGAGUGUUUGGGUGUCAAACCCGCACGCGUAAUGAAAGUGAACGUAGGUGGGAGCUUCGGCGCACCACCGACCGAUCCUGAUGUUCUCGGAUGGAUUUGAGUAGGAGCGUGGGGCCUCGGACCCGAAAGAUGGUGAACUAUGCUUGGAUAGGGUGAAGUCAGAGGAAACUCUGAUGGAGGCUCGCAGCGGUUCUGACGUGCAAAUCGAUCGUCAAAUCUGAGCAUGGGGGCGAAAGACUAAUCGAACCAUCUAGUAGCUGGUUACCGCCGAAGUUUCCCUCAGGAUAGCAGUGUUGUCUUCAGUUUUAUGAGGUAAAGCGAAUGAUUAGGGACUCGGGGGCGCCAUAUUGCCUUCAUCCAUUCUCAAACUUUAAAUAUGUAAGAAGCCCUUGUUACUUAGUUGAACGUGGGCACUCGAAUGUAUCAACACUAGUGGGCC
rnacentral:rRNA from 1 species